rnacentral:rRNA from 1 species
AUUGAACGCUGGCGGCAGGCCUAACACAUGCAAGUCGAGCGGAGCGGCGGACGGGUGAGUAAUGCCUAGGUAUCUGCCUGGUAGUGGGGGAUAACGUACGGAAACGGGCCCUAAUACCGUAUACUAUCUGAUUAGCCUAGGUCGGAUUGGCUAGUUGGUGGGGUAAAGGCCUACCAAGGCGACGAUCCGGAACUCGUCUGAGAGGAUGAUCAGUCAAACUGGAACUGGGAAACGGUCCAGACUCCUACGGGAGGAGGAAGUGGGGAAUAUUGGAAAAGGGGGGAAGUCCUAAUCCAGCCAUGCCGCGGGUGGGAAGAAGGUCUUCGGAUUUUAAAGCACUUUAAGUUGGGAGGCGUUACCAACAGAAUAAGCACCGGCUAACUUCGUGCCAGCCGCCGCGGUAAUUC